GGCAUGUCACAGCCCCCAGGGCGCCAGUCAGCCUGUGUUCAGCUGAAUUCCUCGGGCCAGAACCCUCUGCCCGCGCCACCUACCCCGGCGUCCCGGCCACACCUGUCCAUGGCCAGGUGUGCACCUGCAGCCUCUCAUCCAGCCGGGCUCCCCUCAGUCCGCGGCUGGCGACCCCUUCCCCUCUCCCGCCCUCAAGUCCUCUUCUCCCGGGCUGCCUCUCCUCAGCCGCCGUCCCGUCCCCGCCCCUGGGCGGCCUGUGUCCCGGGUGGGCGGGGUCUGCGGACCCGGACAGGGGCGGGCGGCUGGGGCUGGGGCUGGCCUUCAAGCGGGGCUGCAGCCCGCGUUUCCACACCCCCCCCCCCCGGUUUCCCUGCCCCGCGACCCCGGGGCUGCCCUGCUUUUCCUUUCCUGCUCCCUGAGGACAAGCUCAGCGGCGUGGGCGCUGCUCCCUGGGCUGAGAGCCUCCUGCUGUAAAGCCCAGCUUCUGGUGGAGUCGGGAAAGUGGAUCCUCAGUGCUGAGCAAGCUUCUGUCUCCUCCCUCAGUGUUUCUGCCCCAGGCCCUGCAACAUGAGCAUCCCUGACUACGUGCAGUGUGCUGAGGACUAUGAGACUGUUCCCGUGGUGGUCAAACCAGUGGGGAUCAUCUCAGAGGAGAAUUUCUUUUGCAUCUAUAAACGAAUCUCCUUGGUGAGCCAGAUCAGCCCGUGCAGAUCCCAGGGCGCACUCUGUAUGCACUACAGGCACCACUAUGCGCCCAAGAAUGGAUGGAGUGGCUUCCAGACCCACCGCACGGUCGUGGGCCUUGUCACCAUUACCGACUGACUCUCGGCCAAGGCCUUCGAGAAGCUCCACGUGCAGAGGAGCCGUAUGGCACCACGCUUAAUGACUCUAAGCUCUUUGUCUUUGUGCUGCAUGGGGAGGUAGCCAAGCAGCCGUGCACCGACAUGUCCUUCAAUCUAUGAGGACUACAGGGUGGUGGAGAAGAGGAUUGAGGACUUCACUGAGUCACUCUUCAUCUUGCUCAAGUCCAAGUUGCUGGAUGGAGCCCCUGACAAGACUGGGAACAAGAUCCCACUCCUCUGCAUACCGUUUGAGAAGGGGGAAUUCAUGGGACUGGACACCGACAGCAGAUAGUUUUAGUUACUGAGACCCUCGAAUUCCCAUAUGAAUUAUAACAGCAGCUAAUCAGUUUUUGCAGAGGAGCCCGCUGGGAUUGUGAUCGAGACCACGUAGAAUAUACGGAUCACUCUGGGGAGCACUGCCAUUCCAAGAGCACUGUCUUCUGAUCCAGGAAUGUACAUGGCAUGUCUGUCCAGGUGCCCUCACCUCCAGUGGCAUCCAUCCAGACACCAACACUGACACUGGCCAUGCUCAGAACUGCCUCAGCCCUGAAGACACAAGUGACAAAUAGAAGGGGGCCACGCCCUGUUACAGCAGGUGCUCUCACUUUGUGGGUCCUUAUGUAACUGCGCGGUGUUAAUCAGGAUCGCCCGUUCUACAUUGUGUGGUGCUGCUGCGGUGUCUCCUAGGUAUUUGUUUCUGAUCUGAGGAGCAGGAGCAAGGAACGCAGGGAGAGAUCCAGGAAGACAUCUGACUGUGUUAAGAGACGACAGUCACAGCCACACGGGGAGCGAGGACACUUGCAGCAAAGUAAAACGACUUCACAACUAUUGCAUCAGAGCUGUCGGUGUGAGAGAGCCUAAGCCUGUCUCAGAGUGCAGAGGACAAGCGGAAAGGAAUGUGUAAGAAUGCUGGUGACUGAGUUAGAAGCAUGCUUCGAAGCUGUCCGUGUCUUUGCCAUCCAGAAGCGGAGCCUGGGAGCUUCUGAAUUUCUCCAGAAUGCGGUUUACAUUCACCUUCGACAGCAUUCCUAGGAGAGAAUUCAGCAGUGCAGCAUCCUCUCCGAGCUCUAUGAGUUGAUCGGCUUCCACCGCAAGUCCGCCUUCUUCAAGCGGGUGGCCCCCGUGCAGCGCGCGGCCCCCGGCAUCCUGGAGCCUGGCUGGAAGGCCUGCUACCGACUCCUUCUGCAGAGGCUUCCUGGCUACAGUCUGUCGCUGGAUCUGCAGGACUUCAGCAAAGGUGUUGGAACUAAAACAUUGCUUCAGUCCCAUUAACCAUGCCUGGUUUGGGCCCUGCUGUCCUGUCUCAUCAGGGUGAAUUCUGAUUCGUUUAGAACAGGGCUCAGCAGACUUUUUCUGUCAAGGGCUUGGGAGUAAGUAUUUCAGGGUCUGCCAAUCUCCUGAUCUCUGGUGCAGCUGCUCAGCUCUGCUGUUCAGACGCCAGAGCAGCCGGACAUUCCACACACCCACAGAGCUUUAUUAACAGCGGUGGCUGGGGCUGGAUUUGGUGUAUGAACUGCAGUUUGUCCCCAAAGCCUCCUCAAUAUUGACGCCUGCACCAGAGCGUGCAUUUGCGACAAUGAGUGAACCUGCACUGACACGUCAUCAUCACCCAGAGCCCAGACUUGACACUAGGAUUUACACUUGGUGGUGUGCACUCUGUGGGUUUGGACAGAUGUGCAAUGACAUGUAUCCACCGUCACAGCAUCAUAUAGAGUAGUCUGUCUUAGUGACCUUAAAAUGCUCCGUGCUGCACCUCAUUCAUUGCUCCUUCCCCUCUAGCCUCUGACAGCCACUGAUCUUUUAGUCUCUGUGGUUUUCCCUUUCCCAGAACACCAUACAGUUGGAAUCAGACAGUUGCGGAACCUUCCCAGAUUGGCUUCUUUCACUUAGUAAUAUGCAUUUAAGUUUCCUCCAUGUCUUUCCAUGCCUUGAUAACUCAUUUCAUUUUAGCACCAAAUAAUAGUCCAUUUUCUGGCUGGACCACAGUUUAUCCAUUCACCUACUGAAGAACAGCUUAGUUGCUUCUGAGUUCUGGUGAUUAUGAAUAAAGCUGCUAUUAACAUCUGUA